rnacentral:snoRNA from 1 species
ACGACCUUACUUGAACAGGAUCUGUUCUAUAGGAUCGUACCUCUGUAUCCUUGAGUUCUAAGGAGACAGGAACCUAAGUCUGGUCGAUGAAUCAUGACCGUGCGACCAGAGCGUGAUUAACGGCUGGUGAUGUACAGGUAGAUCAUCCAUCUGUAGAGGAUCGUUCUCGGUUCGUCAUCCGACGGCUGAGAUGGUUGCACGGUUGUCUGACAGACU